GCACACAAGUUUCCCUAUUUCGGAACCCUGCAUAUUUCUUAUUUUCUACAACUCCAAUUAAGGCCGCAGGGAAUUUUGAAAUAAUUGUCUGGGUUUAAUUAUUGCAUUUCUCCUACAUUUACAUCCAAAUGUUACCUCUUUUACAAAGCCUAAGGAAGAUGUUUCGGAAGUAUAAGAAGAAAAAUUGUUUUAUGAUUCCUAUGGCAAUGAUCUUCUGAACUUUGAUACAUGUUCAGCAACACUCAGACUUUGCUGAUGGAAUGGCUGCCAUCUCACCAGACAUUGCUAUGAUGGAUCAUGCUGUUUAAGUGGGGACUAGAAUCUCAGUCCUCGAGCAAAAGCGACCGUUAAGCAAGAUCAUGUGAUUAUUUCACUCAACAACAGCAAUCCCGUCACUCCUGGUUGCGAAGGAGUGGUUAAGUGGAUGGAGGCCCAGGUAAGGAGAAUAAGGUGCCUUGGAAGUGUGUGCGGGAGAGUCCUGAGUUGGGGGGAGAAAUUCA